rnacentral:lncRNA from 1 species
GCCUAUGAAACAUAACUUCUUCUUUGAAAGUCAUACGUUUUGUCUCUAUAAUGUGGUAGUGUCAACUCUUGCUCAUGGGGCGUAACUCGAUUGGAAGAAGUCAAAGAAAAGAAAAAAAUAAUAAAAAUUACAAAAAAGGAUAAAAAUAUUAGAAAAGAAAAAAUAAAAAUCAAAGAAAAUAAAAAAAUAAAAAUGAAGAAAAUAUAUAAGUUGGGGGA